GCUGGCGUGGCGCAAUGGAAGCGCAGCUGAUUUGUAAUCAGCUGGUUGGAGGUUCGAAUCCUCUCGCCAGCUCCA
rnacentral:tRNA from 1 species